rnacentral:rRNA from 1 species
GCACGGGGGGAUGCCCUUAGAUGUUCUGGGCUGCACGCGCGCUACACUGAUGCGCUCAACGAGUUUAUGACCUUGCCCGGUAGGGUUGGGUAAUCUUCUUAAAACGCAUCGUGAUGGGGAUAGAUUAUUGCAAUUAUUAAUCUUCAACGAGGAAUUCCUAGAAGCGCGAGUCAUCAG